AUUGAACGCUAGCGGGAUGCUUUACACAUGCAAGUCGAACGAGUGGCGGACGGGUGAGUAAUAUAUAGGAAAGUGCCUAGUAGCGGGGGAUAACUACUGGAAAGAGUGGCUAAUACCGCAUACUAUCGGAGGUGCCCGAAUCGGAUUAGCUAGUGGGUGGGGUAAAGGCUCACCUAGGCAACGAUCCAUAGCUGGUUUGAGAGGACGAACAGCCACACUGGAACUGAGACACGGCCCAGAAUCCUACGGGAGGCAGCAAUGGGGAAUUUUGGACAAUGGGGGCAACCCUGUUGCAGCCAUCCCGCGUGUAUGAGAAGGCCUUCGGGUUGUAAAGUACUUUUAGCAGGGAAGCGUGAUCUGCAGAAGCAGCACCGGCUAACUACGGGCCAGCAGCCGCGGUAAUAC
rnacentral:rRNA from 1 species